rnacentral:pre_miRNA from 1 species
UCCGGGUGCAUUGUAGUUGCAUUGCAUGUCAGGUUAUUCAGUGCAGUGUUUCUGCAGUGCAGCUUGA